CGAAGUAGCAAUACUUAGUGGCAAACGGGUGAGUAAUAUGUGGGAAUCUACCCUUCGGUCUGGAAUAACACGAGGAAACUUGUGCUAAUACUGGAUAAGUCUUUACGGAGAAAGCUUUACGCACCAUUGGAUGAGCCCGCACUUGAUUAGUUUGUUGGUGGGGUAAUGGCCUACCAAGACAAUGAUCAAUAGCUGAUUUGAGAGGAUGAUCAGCCACAUUGGAACUGAGACACGGUCCAAACUUCUACGGAAGGCAGCAGUAGGGAAUCUUGCACAAUGGAGGAAACUCUGAUGCAGCGAUGCCGCGUGAGUGAAGAAGGCCUUUGGGUUGUAAAGCUCUUUCGUCGGGGAAGAAAAUGACUGUACCCGAAUAAGAAGGUCCGGCAAACUUCGUGCCAGCAGCCGCGGUAAUACGAAGGGACCUAGCGUAGUUCGGAGUUACUGGGCUUAAAGAGUUCGUAGGUGGUUAAAAAAGUUGGUGGCGAAAUCCCAGAGCUUAACCCUGGAACUGCCAUCAAAACUUUUUAGCUAGAGUAUGAUAGAGGAAAGCAGAAUUCCUAGUGUAGAGGUGAAAUUCGUAGAUAUUAGAAAGAAUACCAAUUGCGAAGGCAGCUUUCUGGAUCAUUACUGACACUGAGGAACGAAAGCAUGGGUAGCGAAGAGGAUUAGAUACCCU
rnacentral:rRNA from 1 species